GGCUCGGUGAUAAACCCUGGGGGCGUGCCUAAUACUAGCAAUGUCGAGGGAAUGGAAUGAGAGCUUUCUCUUAGAGAAUUUAGCGGGGGGAGGGGGAGAGUAAACACGGGGGCACACCUCGCCUAUGAGACUGGGAUAAUCUCCCGAAAACCGGGGGAUAAAUCCGAGAAUAUCUCUGUGACCCCGAGUGUUUAACAAUUGAAAAAGGGGCUUCGGGUGUCCAUAUAGAGAUGGACCGGGGUCCCUUUAGUUAUUUGGGGGGGGUAAGGGCUCCACCAAGGGCAACGUGGGUAGCCCACCUGAGAGGGGUGUUGGCCCACACUGGGAAUGGAAACAGGGCCCAAAUUCCUAGGGGGGGCACCAGUAGGGAUUUUUCCGCAAUGGAGAAAACUCGGAGGGGGAAACCCCGGGUGAGUGAAAAAGGUUUUGGGUUUGUAAAAUUUUUUUUAUAGGGAAAAAAAAGUCAUAGUUGAAUGAGUGUGCACCUAGACGGCACCUAACCAGAAACCCACGGAUAAAUAUGUGCCCGCAGCCGGGGUAAUAUGUGGGUGGCGAGUGUUCUCGAGAAUUAUUGGGUAAAAAGCGCGCGCAGGGGGUUUUUUAUGUGAGAUGUGAAAGCCCAGGUCUCCACCGUGGAGUCUCAUUGGAAAGUGGGAGACGUGAGUGCAGAAGAGGAAAGUGGAAUUACAUGUGUAGCGGUGAAGUGUGUAGAGAUGGGGAGGAACCCCAGUGGACGCUGGCGAGCGACUAUCUGUUGUGUGUAACUGACACAGUGGGGCGCGAAAGCGUGGGGAGCAAACAGGAUUAGAUACCGUGGUAGUCCACGCUGUAAACGAUGAGUGCUAAGUGUUAGGGGGUUUCCGCCCUUUAGUGGUGAAGUUAACGCAUAUACAGCUCUCCGCGUGGGGAGUACGGCCGCAAGGCUGAAACUCAAAGGAAUUGAGGGGGGCCCGCACAAGCGGUGGAGCAUGUGGUUUAAUUCGAAGCAACGCGAAGCACCUUACCACAUGUCUUGACCUCCUCUUGACACCCUGGAGAUAUAGGCUUCUCCCACUUCGGAGCAAACUGACACGUGGGGCGCGGGUGUCUUCUCCUCUUGUGGUGAGAUGUUUGGUUAAAUCUCCCAACGAGAGCAACCCUUGAGCUCAUUUGCCAUCUCUUUUUUGGGCACUCUCAAGUGAGAGCGCGUGAGACACCCGAGGAGAGUGGGGAUGAGAUCUCAUCUCCUCGCGCCCUAUGAGAUGGGCUACACACAUGCUACACUGGACAGUACACAGAGCUGCGCCACCUCGAGGUGGAGCUCAUCUCAUAAAAACUCUCUCUCUUCUGAUUGUGUGCGGCAACUCUCCUAUAUGAGACUCGAGUCUCUCGUAAUCUCGCAGAUCCAUGUGCCGGUGAAAACAUUCCCGGGGCUUGUACA
rnacentral:rRNA from 1 species